UACGGAGGUGGCAAGCGUUGCUCGGAAUCACUGGGCGUAAAGGGCGCGUAGGCGGGGAGGUAAGUCGGGUGUGAAAUCCCUCGGCCCAACCGAGGAACUGCGCCCGAGACUGCUUCUCUUGAGUCCCGGAGAGGAAGAUGGAAUUCCCGGUGUAGCGGUGAAAUGUGUAGAGAUCGGGAGGAACACCGGUGGCGAAGGCGGUCUUCUGGACGGUAACUGACGCUGAGACGCGAAAGCAUGGGGAGCAAACAGG
rnacentral:rRNA from 1 species